UACAAGUAUGGUGGGAGAGGUGUCAAACUUUUGACAUGCUUUCACAGGAGAGUGAUUUUGGCUCAUCUGUGCUGGCAAGGCUGAGGCGCGCUCAUGUGGGUAAGGUGGGGCAAGAAAGCAUAGGAUUUGUACUAGGUUGUACUAUAGAGUUUUCAGAGUAUGCGGGACCAUUGCUCCAAUGUGGCUGAAAAAAUUACCUACAUUAAAUUUACACACGCAUACUAACUACUACAUAAUCAAUACCCUAGUAUAUGUACACUAUAUAAGUGCAGUCAUGCCCAAUACUUUAUUCUACCACUCUCGCGCUAGUUGGUUUUCGUGAAAACCAGGCGCGAAACUUAUAAGGUAGCAUGAUGCCUUUGUAGGAUCGAGAGUAGGAUUAGGAGGUGCAAGGAAAGAAAAAAAAUACUGCACUUUCUGAUGCGGGGUGGAAAAUAAUAGAAUGACGCUGGUGAGGACCAGAUUAUCCCAACCGUUCCCUGCCUGUUGCUACACGUUGCUAGAGCACAGCAACAACUAUUACAGUGUUGCGAGGCACUUUUUAUUAUAGUGCACAUAGAUGUUUCCUUGUAAGCACAUGCUCAGCUAGAUAGUUUGUGCUGAUUCUUCCGUCCUGCCAAAAAUGAAACCGCUGUACAAUGCAAGGAACUCCUGGUCAACCUGAUAAAUUUCACGCAAGCAACACCACAUGGAAGUGGAUCAUAGAUCCAACAUUCAUCAUCAUCUACCGGUAUAUCUUCUGUUUUCUACAUGCAUGUGUUGCAGAUAAACUUCAACCACAUGCACCGACAUGGUUAACGUGCAUAUCAAACACCCUAACACGUGAUGAAUCGGACCUUGUCUAGUACAACGGUCUUAGUAGUUGUCACUUAGAAGAAUGUAAGCAUCCAACUCAUCAGUCAGCCUGAGCUCCAAAUUAAUCUCCAAUACAUUAGUACCGGUGGUGUUACCAACAGGUACCAAAUAAGUUCUUCCAAGCUAUUUACACUUCUUGCUCC
rnacentral:lncRNA from 1 species